AGUGAACGCUGGCGGUAGGCCUAACACAUGCAAGUCGAACGGCAGCACAGUAAGAGCUUGCUCUUACGGGUGGCGAGUGGCGGACGGGUGAGGAAUACAUCGGAAUCUACUUUUUCGUGGGGGAUAACGUAGGGAAACUUACGCUAAUACCGCAUACGACCUACGGGUGAAAGCAGGGGAUCUUCGGACCUUGCGCGACUGAAUGAGCCGAUGUCGGAUUAGCUAGUUGGCGGGGUAAAGGCCCACCAAGGCGACGAUCCGUAGCUGGUCUGAGAGGAUGAUCAGCCACACUGGAACUGAGACACGGUACAGACUCCGACGGGAGGCAGCAGUGGGGAAUAUUGGACAAUGGGCGCAAGCCUGAUCCAGCCAUACCGCGUGGGUGAAGAAGGCCUUCGGGUUGUAAAGCCCUUUUGUUGGGAAAGAAAAGCAGCAGGUUAAUACCCCGCUGUUCUGACGGGACCCAAAGAAUAAGCACCGGCUAACUUCGU
rnacentral:rRNA from 1 species